UACAGAGGGGGCAAGCGUUAUUCGGAAUUAUUGGGCGUAAAGGGCGCGUAGGCGGCCUGGCAAGUGACGGGUGAAAGCCCUCGGCUCAACCGAGGAACUGCCUGUCAUACUGCCGGGCUUGAGUCCGGGAGAGGUGAGUGGAAUUCCCAGUGUAGCGGUGAAAUGCGUAGAUAUUGGGAGGAACACCGGCGGCGAAGGCGGCACUCUGGGCCGGUACUGACGCUGAGGAGCGAAAGCGUGGGGAGCAAACAGG
rnacentral:rRNA from 1 species